rnacentral:rRNA from 1 species
CGGGGUGCAGCAGGCGCGAAAACUUUACAAUGCUGGCAACAGCGAUAAGGGGACCUCGAGUGCCAGGAUACGAUCUUGGCUGUCGCGAUGCCUAAAAAGCAUUGCAUAGCAAGGGCCGGGCAAGACCGGUGCCAGCCGCCGCGGUAACACCGGCGGCUCGAGUGGUAACCGCUAUUAUUGGGUCUAAAGGGUCUGUAGCCGGCCGGAUAAGUCUUUUGGGAAAUCCAGCUGCUCAACAGUUGGGCUUUCAGAAGAUACUGUUCGGCUCGAGACCGGGAGAGGUGAGAGGUACUUCAGGGGUAGGGGUGAAAUCUUGUAAUCCUUGAAGGACCACCAGUGGCGAAGGCGUCUCACCAGAACGGAUCUGACGGCAAGGGACGAAAGCUAGGGGCACGAACCGGAUUAGAUACCCGGGUAGUCCUAGCCGUAAACGAUACUCGCUAGGUGUCAGCCACGGUGCGACCGUGGUUGGUGCCGUAGGGAAGCCGUGAAGCGAGCCACCUGGGAAGUACGGCCGCAAGGCUGAAACUUAAAGGAAUUGGCGGGGGAGCAC